UCUGAUGGUGUGCAUCCCAAU
rnacentral:siRNA from 1 species